UUUACUGGUGUCACAGGACGUAUAGAAUUCCCUCUUGCUGCUCUCAUCUGGUUGCUGUUUCAUAUAACCUUCUGUUCUUUGCUCCUCUCUGCUGCGUCUGGGGCGGGAUGGGCUGUGUUGUUGUGAUUUAGGGAGUAUCGCACCACAAGGCACCAACACUGGAACCGUAGUGCUGUAGUGGAGUUUUUUUUUCUUUUUCUUUGUUGGACAGGUCUCCAGCUGGUUAGCAGUUGAAUACUUCCACACUGGCAGUGGAAAUACUUUCAAAACAAAACAAAAAAGCAGGAAAAAAGGAAGGGUUUUUGCUCAUUUGUGUUGCUACAAGCUGCACGACUCCCCCCUCCCCUCCCCCAGGUAUAGAACAAACCAUCAAGUUAUCUUUAUGGCUUUUACUAGCUUAUUUAAAACUCAACACGUAAUAAAGCUGAAGUUUAUUGGGAGAAGUAGCUUACUGGGAUUUGAGGGGGUUAAUAUUUGGUUUUCUUCGUGGCAGGCAGAGAAAGAGGUCCUGCAGGGUAAUCUCUUUAUGUGGGGGAUCUCAGGCCUUAUUUCUCAGCAGAUUAAAGUUCUAGUGUUACACCUCCUCUCUUAUUUAUUCAGGAUGACUAAAUCUGAGACAGGCACUGCUCUGCCCUCACAGAGCUGGUUUUGUUCAGGCACAGUUUAUCUGUAACGAGAAAACCAAUUAAACCUCAUGGGCAGGAGCUCUGGUUGCUGCAGGAUCUGAGGAUCCCCACGCUGUGGUCUCUGCUGAUGUGCGUAGUCUGUCUUUGGUGUGCUGGACGUAAUCGGAGGCCUUUCUGGGAAGUCAGCAGUUGGAAGUAGCUUGAGGAACCUGCUAAACUUUUUUUUGCUGUUCUGUGCGUUGCAUUUUCCUGUUCUUCCAGGAAGAUGUGUCUAGCAAGAGAAAUCAGACUCAUCUGGGGGUCUAGAUUGCUCUAGAUCUGCACUAGCAGUUCCAUCGUGCUGGUGGAGCACCUGCAGGCCUCCGAGCCCACACCAGCCACGCUGGCUGAUUCCAAGUUACUUGUGUCCCUGUAAGAUACCAGAGGUCUCUCUCUAGUGACUUCAGCUAUCUGUUGGACAGGGUGCUACGUACAUCUUCUCGGCAAGGCCCAGUUUAAGAGCAACGUUUCUAAAGACGAAGCGUUGAGUAGCUAGCGGAGCGUAAAGUUGGGUGAAAGCGAAGAAGAGGAAAACUCGCAAGCUUUCCCAUGUCGGAGCAGGUGAGUACUGGUUUGGUUGCAGUCAGGUACGUCGGCGUAGGAGGAGGAGAGCGAGCAAGGCUGAGCUUUCUGUUCCAGACUCUGGUCACUCACCGUAGUUGGUACCAGGGAAAGUUCUGCUUUACUCCUCUCGCUCCUGAAGCUCCACCUCAGUGCCCAGAACCGGUGCGCCGUCACCUGCGUAUGCUGCCUUGACACAGGGUCCUUUCCCCAUGCCCUAGUUCACCUGCCCCCGCUCAGAGACAAACAGCAUCCCUGGUCCUGGGCGAGAACACGGAUCUGGCAGUUCUUAGCGUGUCGCAGCCGCUCCUGUUCCCGUUCAUCCCUUUCUCAGCCUGACAGCUACUUCAGCUCGGGCUGCUUGUUCCUAGGGUGGCCUCUCGGGACAGCGCUCUGGAAGGCGUCUUGCCUAGCAAGAAGUGCCAACACAGGGAAGCAAAAACAGCAGCUAGGCUGAAUCUGGAGAAUAAGAACAGUUUUGAUGCUGUGUAUGUGUGGAACUUAAGUCACAGAGCUCAGGUCUAUUGCACCUAGAUAUGUUCCAGAGUUUUUGGUUUGGUUUUAUCUGUAGGUUAGCAUAAGGCAACCUGCAUUAUUUGUUUAAACAUAGAUCUCUUAAAGGCUCUGUGUCGUCACUGGAAAAGUCUCAGAGCUUUUUACAUGUAAGAUGACUGGCUUUUGUAGGUGAAAGGCAUGAAACGCCUAAUUUAUAUGGGAGUUGCUGUGGUAAUAAUGGAAAGAACCUCUGGGAGUCUUCAUUCAAACUGUAGCUUUCAGCUAAUCCAUUCCCUGCCACUGGUGCUAGUUAACUUCAUCUUAUUUUGUUUUAUAAAGAAAGAUUUCUCUGCCUGUGUCAGCCUUCCCAACUUGUCCAAGUUGCACGAAAUCCAGCUAGGUAGGUCAUGUGUGUUGCUGAACUACAGCUGCUGUGGUAUGAUGCUUGGGGAAAAUUCCUUUUUGUGAAUCAUUGUAGCGGGGCACCUUCACUAGAACGACUUACUGAAAUGAGAUGCUUCUGUGUUCAUAGUGUCGAUGCAGCAGUGCUUCGGUGUUGAAUUAAGGUCAUGGUGAGGAAGGAGUGUCGUGUGACUUUUGCUCUCUGUUAAGUAAACUUGUAGCCACGUAAGUUUAGGGUUUUGAAUUCACCACAAACACUUCCUGAAGCAUCUGCAAAAGUUUUUUAAAAUUAAGUGUUAACAGUGGUGCCUUUAGAUUUUUCUCCGGUUGGAAACUAAUGGUCAGAAUCUAGUGUCUGAGGCAGAGCACUUCAAAGUGAAUUCCAAAGGGUUUUCUGAUUAAAUGGAUAAGGAAACUGAAUCUCAUAAUGUGAAAAGGUGUCCCAAAAUAGCCAGGCUGCAGUAUCUUCUGAGACAUUAAAAAUGAUUAGCACCAUAUCUCUCAGAGCCAAUCUCUUAAGCCUCUCCAGAGUACAAGUCAGCGUAACCUAUAUAUAGGACGUGUUCUUUCUGCCUAAAAGACUAGAAUUCUUCUAGAGGGUCAGAGCUUAGUGAAAGUUUUUUAACAUAUUUAGUUUAACACCUGAAAUGUUCAAAGCAGUUUUCUGCUGCAGGAGAGAUUUGGGGUAUGCUGUGGGCUGGUUACAAGGAAUGGGUGGAAGUUUGCACACAGAUUCUUCCCCCCUCCCCCGUAACUGAUGGGUUUGCAUUCACAAAUAAUUACCAAGAGCAAAAAUAAACUGGGACACCUGAAAGUGCUUUGUAAGUUGUUUGCUUCUUUUGAAGAGAUUAGAUUUAAAUGAUGCUCUAACAGUGGAACAAACAAUGUCCUUCCUCUUCUCUGCCAGGUAUAGGACCUGUGCAGGUACGUAUUGCAGCCAAAUAAACAAACUUGAAAGAUUUUUGUGCACCUCACGAAGUGCAUAGACCGCAGAGCUUGGUACUGCGUCCUUGGGGCGAUAAGCUAUGAGGUGCCAGGAACACCGGACACGAUCAGCAAUAGUGGGGGUUUGGGGGUGCAGCCAGAACUUUCAAGUUAGUGGCACUGAAAGGCAUCACAAAUGCGUUACGGAUGUAAGUGUCAAGAGCAGAGGGUUAGUGUGACUGGGGAUCUGUUUGUACAGACCUUUAAGAAUUUAAUUAGACACUUCCACAACUAAAAGCCUCUUCAACUAUUCUAGUCCAGACACUUUUGUAUAGCAGCAGAGGAUUGUUCAAAACAUAAGGAGCAGGUAGCUUUUAUUUUGAAUUCUACUUCUCAUCAGCUUAUGUAGUGAGCUGCAAAUGUGUCUGUUCAUUUUCAACUUAAGCAAAUGAAAGUCUCCCUGUUUUACGAGCGUACAGGGUCAGUGGAGAUCGCUGUGCUGUACUUAGACUGGCUGUGAAAGCAAAUAAACAAUAUUAUAUUUGGAGGGGUUUUAAGUAAUAAAUCGUAUGUAGUGAAUGAUCUCACUUGUCACCUGGAACACAGUGAACGGUCGCUCGAUUUCGAGUGAUAUAAUGGGCUUGUUACUCUCCCAGGAAAAAAAUGGGAAGCACCCAAGCCAGUCACAUCCGCUAAGUGCAGCAGGACAGUCCAGGGGAAGUCUCGUAGAUCAGGAAUCCCGAACAAACCAGAAUAAGCCAGAUCUAAAAUAGCUCUCUGCGGAAAACUUGUAUGCAUGGAAAUGGAAAUAACUUUGAAAUUUUCUGACUUUCAAGUGGAAUAGCGUCUCUCAGUUGUGACCUGUUCUUCCAGCUUCCCCUCGCCUCCCAGCGUAGUCCUUGUCUGUAGUCUGUCUUCACCGACCACUGGAAGCCUUUAUAAGGAGAGCUCUGUCGUGCAUUCAGAUUUAGGGUGCCCGGCUGUUCCCUACCGUGGCUGUUUUCCAGCACACGUUGUGCAUUCUGGGGAUACUUUAUGAUGGGAUUCGUUACUUGAGUGAGUGCCAGGAGACCGAGGAGCUAGCUGUCUUGCUGCUCUUCUCCUUUUGCUUGUGCUUGAACGCAUCUUGGAGUUGCCCAGAAUGGGGCCACGCAGCAGCGCAGAGACAGUCUUGCAGCAUCUCUUAAUCGUGUAGGUGAAGUGGGUUUUGUGUGGUCAAACUCAGUUUGGAGGGAAUUAUAAAAUCCACUUGAGAAAACAUAAAACUGAUACUUCAACUCCUCCAGUAUCGGCAUGGGUGAAAAGCCAGAGCACUGCUGUUGUCAGAAAUAAGUGCUUCUGGGCUCUUUUUUUUUUCCUCAAGAGUGGAAAAUAAAUCCAUGGUUGAAGACAAACUCACAAAAACUUUCUUUAGUACGUCUUGCAGCUACGGUUUGGUGCACAAGGGAAAGGCCAGGAAGCACCAGGGUUGGGUUUUUGUUUGUUUGUUUGAAAAAUGCAAAUGAUCACUUGGCAGACGGCAGCCAAGUGUGUGCGAGACACUCAAACCACAACCCCUUUAUGGGGCUGUUUUAUGUGUGGUGACUUCUGGCUCGGGGCGUUUUGUAUACGGAGCAUGGUUUCUUAUAACCAGCAGUUCUCUGUCUGAAAACUGAUUUUAGCUCAGAACAGAGUGGCCGUGUAGCUGACUGUGCAUAGAGAAUUAUCACAGAGUCCCAGAAUCCCAGGCUGGAAGGGACCUUGGGGAUCAUCUGGUCCAACCUUUCUAGGAAGAGCCCAGCCUAGACAAGAUGGCCCAGCACCCUGUCCAGGUGACUCUUGAAGGUGCCCAACGUGGCCGAGCCAACCCCUUCCCUGGGGAGAUUAUUCCCGUGGUGACUGUCCUCACUGUGAAAUAUUUCCCUCUGGUGCCCAAUCGGAAUCUCCCCAAGGGCAACUUGUGUCCAUCCCCCUUGUUCUCUCCACGGGGCUCCGUGUAAAAAGGGAGUCUCCAUCUUCUGUGUAGCUACCCCUUAAGUGCUGGUACAUGGGGAUGAGAUCCCCUCUGAGCCUCCUUUUCUCAAGGCUGAAAUUAUGAUAUGAAAGCAUUUGUUUGAUGCAGUGAAAGAAAUACAACUUUCUUACUCAUUCUUCUCUUUUUUUUU